AUGUAUUUGGCGAGUGCCACGAGGCCUGACAUCUCUUUUGCUGUGAGCAAGCUGAGUCGGUUUGUGUCAAAACCGGGAGAUGAUCAUUGGCAUGCGCUUGAGAGAGUUAUGCGCUAUUUGAAAGGCACCGCGAGCUAUGGGAUUCACUACACCGGGUAUCCAAGGGUACUGGAGGGUUAUAGUGACUCAAACUGGAUAUCUGAUGCUGAUGAGAUUAAGGCCACUGUGAUCGUCAAGAUAAACAGUUCUAAGGACAAUAUGAAGUCCUCAAGGCAUGUGAAGAGGAGACUAAAAUCUGUCAGAAAAUUGAGGAACUCCGGAGUUAUUACGUUGGAUUAUAUCCAAACGUCGAAAAACUUGGCAGAUCCUUUCACAAAGGGUCUAUCACGUAAUGUUGAUACUUAUCUUAAUGUGUUCCAAGUGGCUUAUUCGGGUAAGCAG
rnacentral:rRNA from 1 species